rnacentral:rRNA from 1 species
UACAGAGGUCCCAAGCGUUGUUCGGAUUCACUGGGCGUAAAGGGCGCGUAGGCGGUCGGGUAAGUCUGAUGUGAAAUCCCGCAGCUCAACUGCGGAAUGGCAUUGGAUACUAUUUGGCUAGAGGGUUGGAGGGGGGACUGGAAUUCUCGGUGUAGCAGUGAAAUGCGUAGAUAUCGAGAGGAACACCAGUGGCGAAGGCGAGUCCCUGGACAGCUCCUGACGCUGAGGCACGAAAGCUAGGGGAGCAAACAGG